rnacentral:rRNA from 1 species
GGGCUCACACAAGCGGUGGAGCAUGUGGAUUAAUUCGAAGCAACGCGCAGAACCUUACCUGGGUUUGACAUGCUUGGAUGGCGUCUUGGAAACAGGAACGUCUGCCCUUCGGGGUGAAACUUGCACAGGUGCUGCAUGGCUGUCGUCAGCUCGUGUCGUGAGAUGUCGGGUUAAGUCCUUUAACGAGCGAAACCCUUACCGUUAGUUGCCAUCAGGUUAUGCUGGGAACUCUAACGGGACUGCCGGUGUUAAACCGGAGGAAGGUGGGGAUGACGUCAAGUCCUCAUGGCCUUUAUGCCCAGGGCUUCACACGUGCUACAAUGGCAAUUACAGAGCGACGCGAGACCGCGAGGUGGAGCAAAUCGCAAAAAAAUUGCCUCAGUUCAGAUUGCAGGCUGGCAACUCGCCUGCAUGAAGGUGGAAUCGCUAGUAAUCGCGUAUCAGCGAUGACGCGGUGAAUGUGUUCCUGAGCCUU